UACAAGCUUAGUUUUAAAACUGAUGUGUCUGUAUGUCAGAAAAGCUCUGAUAAAUUAUAAGCACACAUUGGCAUCUGACAAGCUUGGUCACUGGAGGAUGUUUUCUGGUGGUCUUGACCAUGGAGGUUUGGAGAAGAAGGAAGCCAUUCUCAUCACAGGAGUGGGAACAUGUCACGGCUUCCUGAUAUCUACCAGAGAAGAGAGCUGCAUUCAAGUGAACACUCCGAGGAGGCAGUUUAGCCAUGAAAAAAGAAAAAAUGCAUUCGUUGAAAAGGGUAAUUGGGAAGUGUCUGCAGAUUUCCCUUGGAUUUGCUUUCCAGAGGCAGAGUGCGGAGGUCACUCUCCUUAUGGAACACCCAGUUGCUGAGCCGUGCUCCUUGUAGUAACUUUGCAAAUAAAGCCAUUGGUACCCCA